UUACUCUGCUACUACAACCCCAAUUUCAAGAGAGAGUACCCAUAGCUGCAAAGACAGCACAAGCGAAGCGCUGGCGUUUGAAGGAGAGCACCAGCUGCAUUCCCACUGGAGCUGGAUUUGGAGGAGGGCCCCCUGAGCAGCCCUUCAAAGAGACAGCGAGGCCCUGUAGCACCAGUGCACCAUGAGCCCACCGGUAGCAACCAGGAUGCUGCUCCUGCUGCAUCUGCUGCUCCUCCAUCUCCUGAACCAAACGGUCCUUCUCCACCAAGGCUGGCACCAGACAGCGGAGCUGGAGGCGACGGAGUUGGACGUCAGCACAGUUUAUGCGAUAGGAAAUAGAGAUCUCAGAGCCAGGUACCACUGUUCUGUCUCCAGUGGGCACAUCCACCCCAGAAUCAGCCAUACAAACAGCAACUCCCACAGCCAGGGCAGGCUCAGUUCUGGUAAGUGCUUGUCAGCUAACUCAGCACCAGGAGGACAUGGGCCCAUACACCCUUACAGAGAUGUUAGGCUCUCAGCGCAACCAUGAUUGAUGCAAGGCUGCAUAGUCUGGCCAAGUAGUCAUCGGUUUAGUGCAUCUGUGCAGGUAGACUCCACGUCCAACACAGGAGACCAGUGGAUGUUUAUGGAGAAGUACAGAACCCAGGCAAAUUCAGAGCUCUUGACAAGCGUAUGAGCGCAGUGGUGCAAUUAUUUUCUUCUGAGGACCCAAAUGAUGCUACCAACCAACUGCUCCUUCACUUUGAUGUCUCUUCUUUGGCAAUCUGGAUGAAAAUUAAGACUUCAUGAAGCAGGUAUAAAAACCUGGUAGCAAGGUGUGGCUUAGAUGGCCUUGCUCCUCUCAUUCUGUUUCUCAUGAAAUGUGCCAGCUUGAAGAUGGAGAGCUUCAUUGUUUGCAAGCAUGUCCUCACCAGCUUUAUCACUCCAUUCUCU
rnacentral:lncRNA from 1 species